rnacentral:tRNA from 15 species
UGUGUGGGAAACGCCUGUAGAAAUACGGGGCCAUAGCUCAGCUGGGAGAGCGCCUGCCUUGCACGCAGGAGGUCA